rnacentral:rRNA from 1 species
AUAGAUUUUAUUUAUUAAUUUAUAUUAUUUAUAUUUAAAUUAUUAAAAAUAAUUAUAUAAUAAAAAUGUUUUAGUAUUUUUUAAAGAAAAAAUAAUUUUAAUAAUAGUUUAUUAGUAUUGUGAAAGAAAAUUGAAAUAUUAUGAAAAAAUUUUAUUUUAAAAGAAAAUUUAAUUUAUUGUACCUUGUGUAUCAGCGUUUAUUAAAUAAAAAAUAUUUAAUAAAAUAUUUUUCUCGAUUUUAAAAGAGUUAAUAUUAUAUAAAAAUUAAUGUGAUAAAAUUAUUUUAAAUAUAAUAUUAGAAAUGAAAUGUUAUUCGUUUUUAAAGGUAUCUAGUUUUUCAAGAAAUAAAUUUAAUUUAGAAGUUAUAAAUUUAUUUUAAAAAUUUUUUAAUAAAAUAAUUUAUAAUUUUAAUAUUUUAUGGGAUAAGCUAUAAAAUAAAUUUUUAAAAAUAAUAAAUAAAUUUAAUAAAUAUAUGUUUAGAAUUAGCAAUUGUUUAUAAUUAUGUUAUAAUUUAUUUUAUAAAUUAAAUUAUUUAUUAAAUUUUAAAUAUUUAUUGAAAUAUUAAUUUUAAUUUUUAAAAUUAAGAAAUAAUGAUAAAAUUAGUAUAUUUUAUUGUAAAAAUAAAUUUUAAUGAUAAGUUUAUGUAAAG